UUUUUUUGAAGUUGUAUGUAAGCACACUGGUUCUGACCAGUACGUGCUAAAUAAUAAUAAUAAAAUGUCAGAAGUAUGACGAAGAUUUAAAGUCUGGACUUUUGCUUCGCAAGUCCCACCUAAAAAUGCUGAUUCACCCACAGCGUCACAUUUCCAUAAACUGAGCAUGAAUUACUCGCUGUCUCACCUCUGCUGUAUUUAAGAAGGAGUCUUAACAAACAUCACUAAUUGCCUUUCUACAUUGGAGCAGCAAUUGAACAAUUGUAUUUAGCAUGUAUAGUGCCUCGUGAAAAGUCUUCAUACCCCUUGCACAGUUUUCACAGUUUUUUCUGCCUUAAAAUUACAUGUAAAAAGGGAUUAAAUUAGAUUUUUUUUCUCCGACCAAUCUACACAACCUACUACACAAUUUCAAUGUAAAGGAAAAUUAUAGAAAAUGUUCUUAAUUAAAUAGAAUAAAAAACAAAGAUGCCUUGAUUGCGUAUGUCUUCACACACCAUAGUUAAUACUUGGUGGAAUAACUUUUGGCAGCCAUUACAGCUGUGAGAUUAACAUUUGUGUAAAGUUGGUAGGAUCUCAUUCAAAAUUAUUCACAGCUGUAAUGCCUGCCGAUGGUGGUUCCACCAAGUAUUAACUCUGGGGUGUGAAGACAUAUGCAAUCAAGACUUGUAUUUUUAUUUGUAUUMAUUUGGAAAAUGUUCUGUAAAUCUUCUUUCACUUUGAAAAUGUGGGAUAGGUUGURUAGAUCAGUAGGAAAACAAUAUAAUGUGUAAUUGAAUUUUAACAAGGGGUGUUUACACUUUCACUAGGCACUGUACUUAUUCUCUCUCUUUUUCUCUAUUGUUUCUACCCCAUGGUCUCUCUUAGUAUCUGACCACAGUCAUCCCAUAUGAGAAGAAAGGAGGUCCUCCAUCGGUGGAAGAUCUUCAGAUCCUUACCCAAAUCCUGCAAGCUAUGAGAGACGACAGUGACAAGGUGCCCAGCCUUCUGACAGACUACAUUCUCAAAGUGAUUUGUCCAACAUAGACUGGAAGGACAAUAACUGACAUUUUGGAAACGAGGUGAGGGAUCUGGUUUCAAUGUCAACAAGCAAAAUGAAGAGGACUUGCUCAGUGUAUAAAAAAUAAAAACAUAAGCACACUUCAUUUAUUCGUAAUGAUGCAUGGUAUUUUACCAGUUGCUCCUUUUUGUGUAACACCCAUAGAUGUUUUAUAGCUCAUUCAGUUUUGUUUUCUCCGUGUUGAGCAUGGUGAUUUCACAAACCUUGUGUAUUUGACUACUUCAAGUAUAAUWUUUUWUUUUUUUUACUCUAAUUACAGUGUCAAAUUCAGUACUCAAAGUCAUAAGAAAGAUACUCAUAUAUUCUAGUGUAGCAUCUACUGUAUGUGGCUGAUUUCAACAUCCUUUUGGACGAUAGGGAGCCUUACAUUUUUGGCCCUGAAGUAAGAUCGAAGCUACUCAUAUCCAAAGGUUUGUGUCUUAAUUGGAUUAACCUAAUCURAAGGUCUCAGAAACGACUGAGCUACACUCCCCAGCACUUGUAAUAUCAGGGAUAUGAAACAUUUUAGAUUACUUUAAAAGUGCUUAAACACAUUUCAUUAAUAAAAUAAACCUUGAACUAAAUACAAAAAAAAUUCUACACAACUCAGUCCACCAUUUGGCCUCCCUAAAAGCACUGCAUAUAUUUUUUUUUGUCAUAGCUAAAUACUGUAGUAGUACCAUUGUUGUCAUACUUAGAAGGAAUUGCAAAGGUAAUGUGAACAGAACUGUAAUUAAUUACAGAACACUGAUGUGACUACUAGCUAUGCAUUUGAGUAAAUAAUGACUCACUGAAGCCCUGAAUCAGAGGCACCAUGCAGCCCAGACCUGGCCAGUCUGUGAAGGCUGGGCAUUAUUAUAUUUCUAUACACAAGAAAUUAAGAUGCCUUUGUAUUUGCCAGAAUUUUUUGUACAWUUACUUAUUUUUAACCAAAUGUUAUUAUACUAAGCUACUUAUCUGCUAAACUCUUAAUUUAUUUUGUAAAUAUUUUAUUUCAAAUAAAUGUAUAAAGUCAAUG